CACUACUAUAUAACAAAUAAUUUGAGGUACCUGUAAAAUGGAUCGUGACAGCUCUGGUUUAAGGUUCUCGGAAGGUUGUGAUGGGGUUCUGGACCACGCUUUCAGGUUAGGUCAUCAGUACGAUAGUGGAGACUACUACUGUGUGCUAGCCCGCUCUGAUAACGGCCUCAUACCAGGCAAAGCUAAGCCUAACGGAGAAAGUUGCUGGUACCCGUACGGGGGUGAGGAGCAUGAGUGUGAAGAUUUCGAGUGGAUCAGUUCUAAUGGUCACGGAGUGAUGAUCAGACCUACCCUGGGGGAAGAAGAGGAAGCACCGGAGGGAGCCCUCAAACUUGGAUCACAAGAUGAUGACGAGUAUUACGUAGUAGUAGCACAUACGGAGGGAGGGUGAUGUUCCGGGCAAGUCUAAGAACGGAAAAUGUUGGUACUCAUUCGGGGGAGAGGAAAAGAACGCCGACCACUUUUCUUAUGUCGUCGUGCGUUUUGGAAUUGGGGGAACUGUCCUUUGUAUGACGGAGCAAGGAUUCACUUGGAGAGCCAACAUGAACAUGGUGGUACGGUUAGAGUUAACGAAGAUGAUGAGGUUGAUGGAGAAGGAGGUCACGGGAGUUGGGCAACCUAUAUAGUACAGAGAAACGAACACGAUGGCACUGUCCGACUUCAGAAUGAUAACAAACCUCACCGCUUCCUGGCCAUCAAGAAAACCGGUCUCACCACUGGUGCUGGGGGACGGAACUGCGUGUUUAGACCCAACUUCCACAAGAACGGAACUGUUUCCUUCAUGUCUGUUAACUUUCCUGGUCGACAUAUCGGAAUAAACGAUGAUCAAACUGCGCGUAAUCCAAAAAACACUGGGACUGGUUUAAACGCUAGAUUCAACAUUCUCGAGGCUUAAUAAUUAAUGACGUCACGAAUGAAGAGCUCGCAGUGGGAAGGGAAAGACAUUGAUGCAGUUAAACUCUUGGAAGUUUCCCCCAAAGAAUUUGAUUAUAAAGGUUAAGAAGUCCGGUUAAUUAAUUUUGUUAAUUCUGAAUUUUGAAAAUAUGUGUUUUUUGACCAAUUUGUUGAUGAAAGAAUAACGGUUGACUAUUUUGUUUUGGUCUUCAGUUUACGUUUUGCAUCGUUAAUGUUAUGUAUUUUAGAAUUUGUCGUAAUAACUGUGAAUGGCGAA